GACCGGAUAGCCUAGUGGUUAAAGGCAGCACAUCUAGCAUUGUGUCUGCUGAGAUCCCAGGUUCAAAUCCUGGUCUGGUCA
rnacentral:tRNA from 1 species